CAAACAAAACAAUUAACACAACUUUGUUAAUGGAGCAUACACAGUACUGCAUACUAAACUGGAAAUGCUGAAAUCAUAUUUCAUCCACAGAUUCGAGAAUGUUUUUCCAUCCUCCACAUCUGUUAUACCUGAUCUCCUGAAUGCUGUUUCUUCUUCUCUGGUGUUGUGUAGGUGAGGGUUCAGGCCCCACGGUCCUCCAGGCACCCAGACAGAUUGUCCUCCACGCUGGGCAGACCGACCAGGUGACCCUGCAGUGCAGCGUGGGUCCCGGCUUCAGCAUGAGCAGCUACACCAUGCUAUGGUACCGCCAGGCUGGCUCCGGGGCUCCGAUAGAGUUCCUCACCAAGGAGUACGAGACUCCCGAGGGCCACCUCCAGCCCUCUAUCGACACGUCCAGCAACAGCUUCACCCUGCGGAUAUCAGAGCUGUCUCCGGAUGACAGCAGCACCUACCUCUGUGCUGCCAGUCACAGUGCUGCCAAGUAGACUGGGAGCCAUGCAAAUACAUCAUCUGAAGCUAAUGACAUUAGGAUGACAUGAAAGGCUGAUCAGAGAUGUGCAGGAAGGUGUUGUGGCUCUUCUGGUUUUGUUAGUGAGCGGGCUGGUGUAACGGUGUGUUGGCGGCGCGUUUGUCUGUAUGUUUAGCUGGGAACUUUCUGAGGGGCGUUUCAUUGUGAUAGAGGAGGAGAAGAUUUUGAGGUUGUUGGGCCAGCAUAGGAGGCAAAUGGGUUACAGCCACCUCAGUAUUGUCAACAAUGUCAACAAAAACUGAUGUGACAGCAUGAACUAGCCCCUCUAGAGGAUCCACGAGUCAUACUUAUAUACAUACUUAUACUGAUACAUCAUUUUCAUUACCGGGGGAGGAGUAAAGACAUUGUUGGUGGAGAACAGAAAGGAGUCUAGUGGAACCUACUUGUAUUAAUCAUUUUCACUCAGUAUAGCUCAGUGGUAGGGCAUGAGGAU